AUUGAACGCUGGCGGCAUGCUUUACACAUGCAAGUCGAACGGUAACAGGUUAAGCUGACGAGUGGCGAACGGGUGAGUAAUGCAUCGGAACGUGCCCGAUCGUGGGGGAUAACGCAGCGAAAGCUGCGCUAAUACCGCAUACGAUCUGAGGAUGAAAGCGGGGGACCGUAAGGCCUCGCGCGAUCGGAGCGGCCGAUGUCAGAUUAGGUAGUUGGUGGGGUAAAGGCCCACCAAGCCGACGAUCUGCAGCUGGUCUGAGAGGACGACCAGUCACACUGGGACUGAGACACGGCCCAGACUCCUACGGGAGGCAGCAGUGGGGAAUUUUGGACAAUGGGCGAAGGCCUGAUCCAGCAAUGCCGCGUGCAGGAAGAAGGCCUUCGGGUUGUAAACUGCUUUUGUACGGAGCGAAAAGGUCCUUUCUAAUACAAGGGGCUCAUGACGGUACCGUAAGAAUAAGCACCGGCUAACUACGUGCCAGCCGCCGCCGUAAGAC
rnacentral:rRNA from 1 species